rnacentral:lncRNA from 1 species
CCAACACAAACACUUAAAAUGACAUGGAAUUCGAACUCGUUGAAUCAACUAAAUUGUUUUCUCCUCACUCGACUGGAAGUCGUUGGAUUAUCUAUAGAUUCUGGUGUUCUGACGCGUCUUACGUUCUUUCAGGAUUUUGCGAUCGAUCGUCGUUAGGAUUGAAGCACGACGACCGAUUGUAUCGGAGAGGAGUGACCAGGCUACCGACUCGCUUGCGAAGAUCGGCCGAUGAGUUGAUGGCCUGCGACCGCGAACGUUUUGACCUUCCUCGUCGAAUUCUGAUGACCAACUGCCUCAUUAUUUCCCU